rnacentral:tRNA from 1 species
UCCCCCAUAGCUCAGUUGGUAAAGAAUCUGCCUGCAAUGCAGGAGACCCUGGUUUGAUUCCUGGGUUGGGAA